GGGAUGGUAGCUCAGUUGGUAGAGCAUUGCACUUUUAAUGCAGUGGUCACGGGUUCGAGUCCCGUCCAUCCCACCA
rnacentral:tRNA from 1 species